GACGAACGCUGGCGGCGUGCUUAACACAUGCAAGUCGAACGGAAAGGCCCUGCUUUUGUGGGGUGCUCGAGUGGCGAACGGGUGAGUAACACGUGAGUAACCUGCCCUUGACUUUGGGAUAACUUCAGGAAACUGGGGCUAAUACCGGAUAGGAGCUCCUGCUGCAUGGUGGGGGUUGGAAAGUUUCGGCGGUUGGGGAUGGACUCGCGGCUUAUCAGCUUGUUGGUGGGGUAGUGGCUUACCAAGGCUUUGACGGGUAGCCGGCCUGAGAGGGUGACCGGCCACAUUGGGACUGAGAUACGGCCCAGACUCCUACGGGAGGCAGCAGUGGGGAAUAUUGCACAAUGGGCGGAAGCCUGAUGCAGCAACGCCGCGUGCGGGAUGACGGCCUUCGGGUUGUAAACCGCUUUCGCCUGUGACGAAGCGUGAGUGACGGUAAUGGGUAAAGAAGCACCGGCUAACUACGUGCCAGCAGCCGCGGUGAUACGUAGGGUGCGAGCGUUGUCCGGAUUUAUUGGGCGUAAAGGGCUCGUAGGUGGUUGAUCGCGUCGGAAGUGUAAUCUUGGGGCUUAACCCUGAGCGUGCUUUCGAUACGGGUUGACUUGAGGAAGGUAGGGGAGAAUGGAAUUCCUGGUGGAGCGGUGGAAUGCGCAGAUAUCAGGAGGAACACCAGUGGCGAAGGCGGUUCUCUGGGCCUUUCCUGACGCUGAGGAGCGAAAGCGUGGGGAGCGAACAGGCUUAGAUACCCUGGUAGUCCACGCUGUAAACGGUGGGUACUGGGUGUGGGGUCCAUUCCACGGGUUCCGUGCCGUAGCUAACGCUUUAAGUACCCCGCCUGGGGAGUACGGCCGCAAGGCUAAAACUCAAAGGAAUUGACGGGGCCCCGCACAAGCGGCGGAGCAUGCGGAUUAAUUCGAUGCAACGCGUAGAACCUUACCUGGGUUUGACAUGGAUCGGGAGUGCUCAGAGAUGGGUGUGCCUCUUUUGGGGUCGGUUCACAGGUGGUGCAUGGCUGUCGUCAGCUCGUGUCGUGAGAUGUUGGGUUAAGUCCCGCAACGAGCGCAACCCUUGUUCACUGUUGCCAGCACGUUAUGGUGGGGACUCAGUGGAGACCGCCGGGGUCAACUCGGAGGAAGGUGGGGAUGACGUCAAGUCAUCAUGCCCCUUAUGUCCAGGGCUUCACGCAUGCUACAAUGGCUGGUACAGAGAGUGGCGAGCCUGUGAGGGUGAGCGAAUCUCGGAAAGCCGGUCUCAGUUCGGAUUGAGGUCUGCAACUCGACCUCAUGAAGUCGGAGUCGCUAGUAAUCGCAGAUCAGCAACGCUGCGGUGAAUACGUUCCCGGGGCU
rnacentral:rRNA from 1 species